AACAAGAGCUUUUGUUGAUAAAUGGGUAUGCUUUUAGAAUUUUUGUUAUGUAGAAAGUUUUUGUAGAAAGUUUUUCAUUAUGUAGGAAAAUAUUGUUUUAGAAAUUAGGAUAACAAGAGUUUUUGUUGAUAGAUGGACAUGCUUUUAGAAUUUUUUAUCAAUAGGUUAUAUUUUUAGAAUAAACUUUUAAAAACCGCUAUAUUUGGAAAGUUAUCAUUUUGUAGAUAAAUAUUGUAGAUUUGGGAUUGUGAUUUAGAAAUUAGGAUAACAAGAGUUUUUGUAGAUAAAUGAGUAUUCUUUUAGAAUUUUUGAUCAAUAGGUUAUAAUUUUUAAAUAAAUGUUCCAAAACCUGGUAUUUUUACAAAGUUAUCAUUUUGUUGAUAAAUAUUGUAGAUUUGAGAUUGUGAUUUUGAAAUUAAGAUAUGAAGAGUUUUUGUUGAUAGAUGGGUAUGGUUAUAGAAUUUUCGAUCAAUUGGUUAUAAUUUUUAAAUAAAGUUUCCAAAACCUGCUAUUUUUAGAAAAUUUUCGUUUUGUAGGAAAAUAUUGUAGAUUUUGGAUUGAGAUUUAGAAAUUAGGAUAACAAGAGUUUUUGUUAAUAGAUGAGCAUGCUUUUAGAAUUUUUGAUCGAUAGGUUAUAUUUUUAAAAUAAACUUUUUAAAACGUACUAUUUUCGGAAAGUUUGAUAUUUUGUAGAUUUGGAAUAGUGAUUUAGAAAUUAGGAUAACAAGAGUUUUUGGUGAUAGAUGGGUAUGCUUUUAGAAUUUUUGAUCAAUAGGUUUUAAUUUUUAAAUAAAUUUUCCAAAACCUGCUAUUUUUAGAAAGUUUUCAUUUUGUAGGAAAAUAUUGUAAAUUUGGGAUUGUGGUUUACAAAUUAGGAUAACAAGAGUUUUGUUAAUAGAUGGGUAUUCUUUUAGAGUGUUGAUCAAUAGGGUAUAAUUUUUAAAUAAAUUUUUCAAAACCUGAUAUUUUUGGAAAGUUAUCAUUUUAUAGAUAAAUAUUGUAGAUUUGGGAUUGUUAUUUAGAAAUUAGGAUAACAAGAGUUUUUGUUGAAAGAUGGGUAUGCUUUUAGAAUUUUUGAUCAAUUGAUUAUAAUUUUUAAAUAAAUUUUCCAAAACCUGUUAUUUUUGGAAAGUUACCAUUUUGUUUAUAAAUAUUGUAGAUUUGGGAUAGUGAUUUAGAAAUUAGGAUAACAAGAGCUUUUGUUGAUAAAUUAGUAUGCUUUUAGAAUUUUUGAUCAAUUGGUUAUAAUUUUUAAAUAAAUUUUCCAAAACCUGCUAUUUUUAGAAAGUUUUCAUUUUGUAGAAAAAUAAUGUAGAUUUGGGAUUGAGAUUUAGAAAUUAGGAUAAUAAGAGUUUUUGUUGAUAUAUGGGCAUGCUUUUAGAAGUUUUGAUCAAUAGGUUAUAUUUUUAAAAUAAACUUUUAAAAACUGAUAUAUUUGGAAAGUUAUCAUUUUGUAGAUAAAUAUUGUAGAUUUGAGAUUGUGAUUUAGAAAUUAGGAUAACAAGAGUUUUUAUAGAUAAAUGGGUAUGCUUUUACAAUUUUUGAUCAAUAUUGUGAUUUAGAAAUUAAGAUAUGAAGAGUUUUUGAUGAUAGAUGGGUAUGCUUUUAGAAUUUUUGAUCAAUUGGUUAUAAUUUUUAAAUAAAUUUUCAAAAACCUGCUAUUUUUUUAGAAAUUUUUCAUUUUGUAGGAAAAUAUUGUAGAUUUGGGAUUGAGAUUUAGAAAUUAGGAUAACAAGAUUUUUUGUUGAUAAAUGGGUAUACUUUUAGAAAUUUUGAUCAAUAG
rnacentral:lncRNA from 1 species